UCGAGCGGUAUUACUGGAACGAAACUUCGGUCUAGAGAAGGUAUAGAGAGCGGCGGACGGGUGAGUAACGCGUAGGCAACCUGCCCCAUACAGAGGGAUAGCCUCGGGAAACCGGGAUUAAAACCUCAUAACACGAGAGUUUCACAUGUUACUUUCGUCAAAGAUUUAUCGGUAUGGGAUGGGCCUGCGUCUGAUUAGCUAGUUGGUGAGGUAACGGCUCACCAAGGCAACGAUCAGUAGCCGACCUGAGAGGGUAAUCGGCCACAUUGGAACUGAGACACGGUCCAAACUCCUACGGGAGGCAGCAGUGGGGAAUAUUGCACAAUGGGCGAAAGCCUGAUGCAGCAACGCCGCGUGAGCGAUGAAGGCCUUUGGGUCGUAAAGCUCUGUCCUUGGGGAAGAAAAAAAUGACGGUACCCUUGGAGGAAGCCCCGGCUAACUACGUGCCAGCAGCCGCGGUAAUACGUAGGGGGCAAGCGUUAUCCGGAAUUAUUGGGCGUAAAGAGUGCGUAGGUGGUCAUGUAAGCGCGGGGUGAAAGGCAAUAGCUCAACUAUUGUAAGCCUUGCGAACUGCAUGACUUGAGUGCAGGAGAGGAAAGUGGAAUUCCUAGUGUAGCGGUGAAAUGCGUAGAUAUUAGGAGGAACACCAGUGGCGAAGGCGACUUUCUGGACUGUAACUGACACUGAGGCACGAAAGCGUGGGGAGCAAACAGGAUUAGAUACCCUGGUAGUCCACGCCGUANACGAUGAGCACUAGGUGUCGGGGUCNCAAGACUUCGGUGCCGCAGUUAACGCAUUAAGUGCUCCGCCUGGGGAGUACGCACGCAAGUGUGAAAC
rnacentral:rRNA from 1 species